GAUCCUGGCUCAGGAUGAACGCUGGCGGCGUGCUUAAUACAUGCAAGUCGAACGAAGCACCUUGGACAGAAUCCUUCGGGAGGAAGACCAUUGUGACUGAGUGGCGGACGGGUGAGUAACGCGUGGGUAACCUGCCUUGUACGAGGGGGAUAACAGUUGGAAACGACUGCUAAUACCGCAUAAGCGCACAGUACCGCAUGGUACGGUGUAGAAAAACUCCGGUGGUACAAGAUGGACCCGCGUCUGAUUAG
rnacentral:rRNA from 1 species